rnacentral:rRNA from 1 species
UUUAACUGAAGAGUUUGAUCAUGGCUCAGAUUGAACGCUGGCGGCAGGCUUAACACAUGCAAGUCGAGCGGGGGAAGGUAGCUUGCUACCGGACCUAGCGGCGGACGGGUGAGUAAUGCUUAGGAAUCUGC